GCGCGUAAAUUGCCCGAAUCCUGACACAGGGAGGUAGUGACAAGAAAUAACAAUACAGGGCUACAUCUAGUCUUGUAAUUGGAAUGAGCACAAUUUACAUCUCUUCACGAGGAUCAAUUGGAGGGCAAGUCUGGUGCCAGCAGCCGCGGUAAUUCCAGCUCCAAUAGCGUAUAUUAAAGUUGUUGCAGUUAAAACGCUCGUAGUCGGAUUUCGGGGCGGGCCUGCCGGUUUGCCGAUGGGUAUAUACUGGUGGGUGCGUCCUUCCUUCCGGAGACCGCGCCUCCUCUUAACUGAGCGGGCGUGGGAGACGGAUCGUUUACUUUGAAAAAAUCAGAGUGUUUCAAGCAGGCAUUUCGCUUUUGCAUGGAUUAGCAUGGGAUAAUGAAAUAGGACUUUGGUGCUAUUUUGUUGGUUUCGAGCACCGAAGUAAUGAUUAACAGGGACAGUCAGGGGCACUCGUAUUCC
rnacentral:rRNA from 1 species